rnacentral:lncRNA from 1 species
CUUCUUCUCUUCGUUAUUGGUAUUUUGGUUGACAGUGGGAGAAUAACUUCCUUUGGUAUUUUGGACUUUGUGGCACCUCUCAAGCAUCAUUGCUGUGUGUUUGUUUGGCUUGAAGUGAUCAAUUCUUAAAAUCCACCCAGAAAAUUAUGCCCUAAUUAGGCAUUAUCCAUGCAUGUCUGGCUUACAGAAGCCUUCCUUGUAAGUUUCUUUACUUUUUGUGGAAACCA